GAGCAUUUGUGAAUGCCACUGCAAUACAUUUCAGUUUCAAAAAUUGUAAAUUGUCAGAAAAACGUUUAAGGGCUUUGUCAUGAAUUACACCUUGGAAAGUCGAUUGGAGUUGAACAGAAUAAAUCAUCUGGUCUGUUUUGCAAAGAAGCAAUAAUUUUUCAAAUAAUGAAAUCCAAAAAGUACCCUGAAGGUAAAAAUUGUGAAAAAUCACGUAAUGGACAAUGGCAGAGCAAGUCUUAUCACAGUUAACGAACACUAUGAGUACCUAAUGAGUUUUUGCAGUAAAUAAUUUUGCCAAAGUUGUGAUCCCGCGAAAGUUCUGUUUGUAAAUUGUAAGGAAUGGUCAAAAUAUUGGUGCAGACAUGGUUUGUGACCGGUGCUUUUCUCUUGAAAAAACACAACUGAAAGCCUUGAUCUUCAUCCCUACAAUAGAUAUCUGAAACAUGCCAGAUCUGCAUAACAGGAAUGUCAAAGAGGUUCUACCCAAAACACACCCACAUGGCCAUCCUAAUAUCAAGAUUUUUCAAAAUUUCUAUAACAAAAAAGAUGAAAAAACCAAUAAAAUUUCAGGAGCAUAGUGUUAAGAGUUCUGUAGAUGAUUAUGAGA